rnacentral:lncRNA from 1 species
GGGGAAGGGUUGUGGACUCUUCCAUCGGCAAUUCUUGCUCUGGCGAAAGUAAAUCCGCCGAUGUGCAUGACUUUUGCCGGCUCCUAGGAAUUUGAUACUCAAACCACUCAUUUAGUUAUACCUAGUGGACAUAAUACCUACUGUUAUGACUUGUACCAAACCGGUUGUACCCGUUCCAACCGGAGACAAAUCUAUACACGUCAGUUACCAAGUUCAUCAUGGUUACUUCACAGUUUUACCAUGAAACUUAGAAUCAUUAGUCUCAUAGGUCUGUCUCCGGCAUAUCAGCAUUAGACCAGUUAAACUUGCAGCAAGGAAAAGAACCAACUGUGUGCUUAAUUUAAUAAUUUAUGAUGAUGCAGCAAAACUUCACAAACAUCCAAAAAGCUUUUCACCUGGCAUAGAUCAAUCACCCAAUUUUGCAUUGACAUGUGAACUGAAAGUAGAUGCUUAUCAUAAAAGACUUUUCCAUGAACUGUAUCAACACAGAGGGCCGCACAAAGUGGUGACAUCAAAUCAGCACAUGACGACACAGAAAUUAUGUCUCAACUUUGAUGGUCGUUUCUCACAUUGUUACUGGUAUAACCUGAUCUCCCUGAAAGGAUUUGUAGUUCUGGUUUGUUACACUGCUUGACCAAUUUUAGAGAUGCCAGGUGUAAACAGCAAAAUGAUAAGUCACUUUUAAGAAAGCUCUCUAUCACAAACGUAUAACCAAAAGUUCAAACCUAUGAGUACCCUAAGAUGCAUUUAUACCCAAAAGAUGAAAUGACCUGCUGGAACACAUCUUGAUUCAAAACUAAUUGUGACCUUUCCCAGUCAUUAUGUUGGUGCAGUGGGGUGUGCACUUAGAUAUCCAAGUUUAAGAUUGAUAGUGAUAACCACAACCAAUAAAUCCUUGUUGAUGUGAUAUGGCAUAACUAACUAGAGUAAAGAAAAAGCACUAUAAACCAAAUUAAUGCAUAGUGCGAAGAUACUAAUGGAGUAAUUUGGCUUUGGUGCAUGAGAAGCUGCAAUGUAAUAUGGCAGAUUGACUAUAUAAUUCAUUCAGCAAAACCUGCUUAAGAUUGGUUGGUGUCCCAGCUCUCACUAUAUCCUGUGCCAACCCAUACUGUAAAAAAGACACUAACUUAGCAUCUUGAGAACGUAGAUCGGAGAUACAACAGAAGAUUCCAAACUACUAUGAUACUAAGUCCAAAAUUCAUUAUCUUAUAUCUUGCUAAUUGCUCCUCUCACAAUUGUUUACUUUCACAAUAAUUCCACUGAGUUGUAACGUUGUUUUUCAAAACAAUUUGCUGACUCACUUGAAAGAUCGGUAAAUGAAAAGAACUUUACCUAUUUGAGCAAGUCCCCCAACUGUUGAAAAUGCCUGAAAAGCAUUUUCAAAACUCAAUUACACCACCGUAGUGAUCAAAUUCUACAUGUGCUCGCCGAGAUCUUCAGACAUGUACGCUCCAAACAGCGAUCGGCUGGUGAGCUAGCAUUCCCCUCUCGUAUUAAACUUAUGCUCUAGGCUCGAGUUCCAGCGAUGGCAACGGCACGUCGUCUGGGGUAGCUCGGUUAGACGGUUACUGCAGAUUCUGGAAGGGGUAUUUUUCGACAUUGGCCGAUUUCAUCCCAAUUAAUAAACACAGAAACUAGUGGAUGAAAUGGAGAAAUAGAAGAGCGGCUGAUCGGCGACGCUGACGAGCUGAAUGGAAGCUCAGAAAGUACGGGAAGAAAUAGAAUUUGAC